rnacentral:rRNA from 1 species
AGAGUUGAUCAUGGCUCAGGAUGAGCGCUAGCUACAGGCUUAACACAUGCAAGUCGAGGGGCAGCAUGAUCUUAGCUUGCUAAGAUUGAUGGCGACCGGCGCACGGGUGAGUAACGCGUAUCCAACCUUCCCUAUAGUAGGGGAUAGCCCGUAGAAACGCGGAUUAAUACCCUAUGUUGUAUUUUGAGGACAUCUGACGAAUACCAAAGGUUCACCGCUAUAGGAUGGGGAUGCGUCUGAUUAGGUUGUUGGCGGGGUAACGGCCCACCAAGCCUACGAUCAGUAGGGUUCUGAGAGGAAGGUCCCCCACAUUGGAACUGAGACACGGUCCAAACUCCUACGGGAGGCAGCAGUGAGGAAUAUUGGUCAAUGGGCGAGAGCCUGAACCAGCCAAGUAGCGUGCAGGAUGACGGCCCUAUGGGUUGUAAACUGCUUUUAUGCGGGGAUAAAGUGAGGGACGUGUCCCUUAUUGUAGGUACCGCAUGAAUAAGGACCGGCUAAUUCCGUGCCAGCCGCAGC